AGCGGCGGACGGGUGAGUAAUGCCUGGGAAAUUGCCCUGAUGUGGGGGAUAACCAUUGGAAACGAUGGCUAAUACCGCAUAAUAGCUUCGGCUCAAAGAGGGGGACCUUCGGGCCUCUCGCGUCAGGAUAUGCCCAGGUGGGAUUAGCUAGUUGGUGAGGUAAGGGCUCACCAAGGCGACGAUCCCUAGCUGGUCUGAGAGGAUGAUCAGCCACACUGGAACUGAGACACGGUCCAGACUCCUACGGGAGGCAGCAGUGGGGAAUAUUGCACAAUGGGCGCAAGCCUGAUGCAGCCAUGCCGCGUGUAUGAAGAAGGCCUUCGGGUUGUAAAGUACUUUCAGCAGUGAGGAAGGCAGGUACGUUAAUAGCGUGCUUGUUUGACGUUAGCUGCAGAAGAAGCACCGGCUAACUCCGUGCCAGCAGCCGCGGUAAUACGGAGGGUGCGAGCGUUAAUCGGAAUUACUGGGCGUAAAGCGCAUGCAGGUGGUUUGUUAAGUCAGAUGUGAAAGCCCGGGGCUCAACCUCGGAAUUGCAUUUGAAACUGGCAGA
rnacentral:rRNA from 1 species